rnacentral:tRNA from 1 species
GGGCCCGUAGCUCAGUUGGUUAGAGCGGCCGACUCAUAAUCGGCUGGUCGGUGGAUCGAGGCCACCCGGGCCCUCCC